GACGAACGCUGGCGGCGUGCCUAAUACAUGCAAGUAGAACGCUGAAGGAGGAGCUUGCUUCUCUGGAUGAGUUGCGAACGGGUGAGUAACGCGUAGGUAACCUGCCUGGUAGCGGGGGAUAACUAUUGGAAACGAUAGCUAAUGCCGCAUAAUAGCAGUUGUUGCAUGACAACUGUUUGAAAGGUGCAAUUGCACCACUACCAGAUGGACCUGCGUUGUAUUAGCUAGUUGGUGGGGUAACGGCUCACCAAGGCGACGAUACAUAGCCGACCUGAGAGGGUGAUCGGCCACACUGGGACUGAGACACGGCCCAGACUCCUACGGGAGGCAGCAGUAGGGAAUCUUCGGCAAUGGACGGAAGUCUGACCGAGCAACGCCGCGUGAGUGAAGAAGGUUUUCGGAUCGUAAAGCUCUGUUGUAAGAGAAGAACGAGUGUGAGAGUGGAAAGUUCACACUGUGACGGUAUCUUACCAGAAAGGGACGGCUAACUACGUG
rnacentral:rRNA from 1 species